rfam:Picea glauca, whole genome shotgun sequence.
GGGUGCAAUCAUGCCAACAUUAAUGCACCGGAUCCCAUUGGAACUCCGCAGUUAAGCACGCUUGGGCUAGAGUAGUACUGGGAUGGGUGACCUCCUUGGAAUUCCUAGUGUUGCACCCU